UGAUUGCUGCUCAACCCACUCAUCCUACUGAUGGGUGUCACAAUCCAUACAAAUUUGAUUGUGAUACGCGGGGCCCAAGCCCAAUGACUUUAGUUUAGUAUUUCUUUUAAUUGUAUUAGAGAUGUGUACAAUGUGUUAGGCAUGUGGUACAUUUAGACCUAUAUAUAGGCAUGCUAACACAUCUUGUAAUUACUUUUGAGCUUAAUGAGAAUUUAGUUUUCUAAAUAAGAAAAUAAUUCUCCCUGGAAAGUUAGGCUAGAGAGUCCAAGGGACCUCCUCUAGCCACCUUCCAUCACACUACCUCAUUCUUUCAUUUCUCACUUUACCAUUGUGUUGUUUCUCUCCUACACUACGUCUCUCCUCCACAUAAACCAAUCUAUUCACACCACUCGUUCCACUACGAAACCUACGNGUGNCGUGCAUCAGACUCCCCAUCUUCAUAUCUCGCUGCCUGCAUCAUUUCCAUUUCGACAUUUCCCAAACCCUAAAUGCUCUCUUCCUCCCGGANGNCCUCCAUNGUUGGCUCUCCAUCACCAGAUCUCGACUNCAUCACUAAUCCAAGUCCAGAAUAGCCUNCUCCAUCAGGUUUGUCAUCAUUUUACCGAUUGAAAACCCNGAAUCCUUCCCUUCCAUCGAUCCAAUCGGUGAAACCUCUCGUUUCACCGUUCAAAUAGCUUUUCCUCUGAUUAUUUCGAAGUUCCACCGAUUAAAUCCUCUUCUUCCACGAACCCUAGCAUUUUUACCGGUCAAACCACACAAACCUAGGGUUUUGUUCUUCCGCUGCAUCGUUUGUCAGACUCUGAGCUCGAUCCNCACCAGAUCUAUGGCUCUUCGCCAGAGUCUCUCGUAUCAAGUGGUAUUCAGAGCUAAAUUCUCUUCCUCGGGUUAGGCACGCUUCAAAGCUAAGUAUCUGAUCUCUGUUUUUUUUUGCUUUCUCUGUUUCAGUGUUGUCUUGAUUCUUGUUCAAUUUGAUUCGUGUUUCUGUUUCAGUCAUUGUCUUUGAUUUGUUUUGUCUGAGUUCUUUGAUUCUGAGUUUUUAUUGAGCUUCCGUGUUGUUCAUCGCUUUGCCUUCACUGUCUUGAUUGUUUAUCUGUUUGAGUUUCGUGCAUCUUAUUCUGUGUAAGUUGUUUUCAUGUUCUUAGGGUUCCAAAAUCUGAUAAGAUGUGCAUAGGUUUGUGUCGUUCUGUGCUUUGAGUCGAGUCUUGUUUUGAUCAUUUUAUUCGGUGAAUCUAAGUGUUUGAGUCUUUUGCUUGAGAAAUCCAUUUCUGUUAUGUCAAAGUCGUGUUGCUUUGUUUUAAUUGUCAGUUUAAUCUGAGUUUAAGUGUGAUUCAAUUGAGUUUAUGGCUUUGAGUAAGAUCUGUACAUCAUCAUAAGCAGUGACAUUCAAGUGAAUGAGCUUGAUGACAGACUUCAAAUAGCAGUUUUUAAUGUCAUUUCAUUUAUUUGAAGCUGUCUUGAGUUUUGAUGCUGUCCAUUACAUGUAAUUGUGUUGCACUUUUGAAAUCCUGUGAGCUGAAAGUGAAUCUACUUGUGGAUAGCAAUUGCACGCCUAAUAAGCUAUGAAAUGUUGUAAUGAGCUUAGGUGCAAGGUGUUUGCAAUGGUAACAGAUUGUGUUUAUUGCAGUUUCACCGAGACUAAUUUUCUUUGAAUCUGUGUCUGUGUGUCAAUUCUGGUUGAGCACUUAGAUCUUUGCCAACCAUCCGAAAACAUUUUCCUGUUACUUGAGCAAAUUUUAAAUGUUGAUUUGAAUAUUAAUUCAUUGCUACAAGUCUGUUUAAAUUGCUAAUUCAAAAUUUGAGUAUUAGAGUUGUUUGAUGGAAGUGCAAAAUAAACUGAACAUGCUAAAUUUUGAUAUAGCUUCAAUCUGUAAACACGACUCAGUCACAACAGUUUAACUUCAUCAACCAAAUUUGCUGGUUCAAAGCUAUUAUGAAUAAAAGUGGUUCUGUGCAUUUUCAUUAGAUAUCUCAUUUCAUUUUAGCACUUUCGGAUUGAAUUAAAUUGUUGCAGCAUACUUUACAAAUUGUGUUAAGAUUCAUUUUGGUGCACUAAACCGUGUUUAUUAGUUGUAGCAAAACCCUGAGUUCAUAUAAAAAAGUCAAAAACAUUCAAAAAAAAUGAGAUGAAAAUUAAAAAGGCUGAAUGAACCAGUGCAACACAUCUCUAUAA
rnacentral:lncRNA from 1 species